AGAAAAAAUAGUGAAUAUAUGCAUUAAUUUUGUAUUACAUUAUAAUAUGUUUUCUGGUACAAAAUACAUAUCAGAAUUGGAUUAUAUAUAUAUAUUACAAUAGAAACUGGUAACAAGUUGGAUUAUACAAAUUAAAAUUGCCAUCAAUUUGUGUCCUUUUCAAAAUCACGAGAUGAACUAUAUUAAAUGUUCAUGCUGUAGCCACUUGAAUUGUAAAUUGGUUGUUAGGGUGAAUAACACUAAAGGGCAUGAUGCAAUGUUUCUGUAGUCUGCUGCCAUUGACGUUGAUUGUUAAACCAGGACACAAAUUCUUAUAUCAGCAAACCCUCCAACCUUCAAAAUGACAAAAACAGAAUACAAAAAUGGUUUUGUCGACUCAAACCCUAAGCAUAUGUCACAAAGUCAUCAAUGAUAACCUUCACAAACAUACGUAAGUUAAGUUAUUUUGUUCGGUUUUGUUGUUUGUCAAAUCAACAAUGCUGUGGUCGGUACACAUAAUUAUAAUUAUGGACAUAUAUAAAGUUUGCAUAUCUUUUAUUUGAAUGAACAAAUAUAAUGUUAAACAAUGUAAGAAAAGAGAACCCUUCAAGUUUACAAAUUAAUAUUGUAUAAUGCAGUUGCUUUGUUUUUUUAUUUUCAGAAUGGUUUUAGAAUCUGUAUAUAUAUUAGAAGCAACAGUGGAUUAUUAUUACUAUUCAUUGUACAAAAUAUGUGGCAUUAACACUUAUAUCUAAGUCUUUUUUAAUCAAAUCCUAUAUUUUGAUUCUAAUAUUACUUUUCUAAUCAAAUACUUAACAUACUAAGAAAACUACUAUUGUUUCUUUAACAAAAGCCUGAAUCACAGUGCUUUGGAAAGUCUGAUUCUAUAUGCGAAAGUGUGAUAUCAAGUUGCCUAAUUAAUAAGUUAAAUAAUAAUUUUGAUAUUUUUAUUUGUUUUUGUAAUUUUAGUCACUAGAUUUAAAAAAAAUUGGUAAUUAUUAAAUUAUUUUCAAUGAUAAUUAAAUAUGUUUUGUAAUUUAAUUGGACAAAAUAAAAGAAAAAAAACAUUUACAAAAUUAAGGAUUUGUUUAGAAUUAAAGAACUAAAAUUGCAGAAAAAAAGGGAUUAAAAUUAUGUAUAAGAAGUAAAAAAAGAAAAAAAGGCAAUUUAAUCUAAUCAAAAUACAGAUCUAUAAUAAUUUAUCUAACUCUAACCAAUUGACAAAGGUUGAUCUUGAGAUUUAUAUUAAUCCUAGUAAAUUAUUGGAACUGAAAUCACAGUGGCAUGCAUGAGUUAGCCAUGGUAAAAUAAAGGACAAGAGAGAAGUGAGAUAGGAACAGUACAAUGACUUUCUGAAGAUAUGUUGAAAACAUAUGGUGGCAGUGUGAUGCUUGCUUCAUCUUCUUCGUUUUCUAGGAUAGAAAAUGACUCGUGAUCAUUGAUCAAGAAACAAAACUUCC
rnacentral:lncRNA from 1 species